rnacentral:rRNA from 1 species
AUUGAACGCUGGCGGCAUGCCUUACACAUGCAAGUCGAACGGCAGCGGGGGAGAAGCUUGCUUUUCCUGCCGGCGAGUGGCGAACGGGUGAGUAAUACAUCGGAACAUGCCCUGUAGUGGGGGAUAACUAGUCGAAAGAUUAGCUAAUACCGCAUACGACCUGAGGGUGAAAGUGGGGGACCGCAAGGCCUCAUGCUAUAGGAGCGGCCGAUGUCUGAUUAGCUAGUUGGUGGGGUAAAGACCUACCAAGGCGACGAUCAGUAGCUGGUCUGAGAGGACGAUCAGCCACACUGGGGCUGAGACACGGCCCAGACUCCUACGGGAGGCAGCAGUGGGGAAUUUUGGACAAUGGGCGAAAGCCUGAUCCAGCAAUGCCGCGUGUGUGAAGAAGGCCUUCGGGCUGUAAAGCACUUUUGUCCGGAAAGAAAUGGCUCUGGUUAAUACCUGGGGUCGAUGACGGUACCGGAAGAAUAAGGACCGGCUAACUACGUGCCAGCCGCCGCGGUAA